rnacentral:lncRNA from 1 species
AGCAGGAGGCUUGUGCUCCAUAGGAACCUGAGACAAGAAGAAGCAGGUUCCAGGCCAGCCUGCUUGACAACAAACCAAAAGAAUCAUCGGACAGAAGCAGCUGCAGUGUGCUCACGGCUGCCCACGGCCCUCGUCUGCAUGGGAAGGGCCUCAGCUCCCUUCGCAGGCGAAGUGGGAGCGCGUGCUGAGGGACGCACACGCAGGCAGGGCCGCGCAGCCGUGGACAGCGGGAGGAGGCUCCCCCGCACUGAUGAGCUCUCUGCGUUUAGAGCACAGCGUCAUGCACUUCCACGCGGGACUGCCGGGACGCUGCCCGUGUCUGGUGUGCGCACACUGACGCGAGAGAGGCGGCUUUCUGCACAUCUCCUGUCCUUCACUUCGCAGGCGGAUGCUGUCACGCGGUCAUUGUGAUGGAAAACUUGUAGGACUACAGGGAGGGGACAGGCGUGGGUAUUCUCAAAAGUCUUAUCGAGUGAUGGUGCUCUGGCUGAAACACUGAUUUUAUUUGGUUUUGGGGACUAUUAAAAGCUUAAAACUAAAAAAGUUUUAAAAAACCCAAAGCAAACUGCAAAACAUAUAAAACUAUGAAGCAGGGUGCACAGCCUGAUGUCUUUUGCUCAUGGAAGAAGGG